CACCGAAAAGAUGUAUUAUUAGAUCAAAAUUAAGAUCAAGAAAGAUUUAAAGAAAAAACAAAUUGGUGGUCUAAGUUUGUUAUCACUUAUUUCAAUGGUUGCUGUUAACUGUAUACUGAUAUACACACCGAAAAGGCACAUUGUUUUUAAGAUGCAAAACCUAAACAGUAGUAUAAGUUUUUUUUUAUUUGGAGGUUUUGUGUAUAUAGCCAUGUAUACCUGCACUUAUAAUCCCUUUCUGUAGCUAUGUACCGUGUAUUUUGCAUGCUGUUAAAUAUUACACCAAUUUAAUUGCUUAUUGCUAUAGAUAAGAUAUUCUAAUCAUUAAUAAUAAGGCAUGACAAAGGACCAUGCUGUAUUUUUCUGUAAUUGUUUGUUGUAAGUUUCAGUUAUCUGAUAUAGGAUUAGGCUAUUAGAUAUGUAUUAUAUGCACAGCACUUGUAGCUGAAUAUAAACUUAUGCCUUAAAUCUGCCUGUUAUCAUCAACAUUUUGUUUACGUCCGGUUUUAAAACUCAACAGUAAUUGAUUGUUUGUAUCCAGUAAAUUAUAUUGUAAUUUUAUAACUUUGUGUAAUAUCUGCUCUAAUACUAUAUUAAAAGUUUGUGUGUACAUAAAGUAAUACUCCCACACCUUAUUUGCUGCAUGAAUACAUAAGUUGUGUAAUAAAUUGAUUCCAAUUUAUAA